UACGAAGGGGACUAGCGUUGUUCGGAAUUACUGGGCGUAAAGCGCACGUAGGCGGAUUUGUUAGUCAGGGGUGAAAUCCCGGGGCUCAACCUCGGAACUGCCUUUGAUACUGCAAGUCUCGAGUCCGAUAGAGGUGGGUGGAAUUCCUAGUGUAGAGGUGAAAUUCGUAGAUAUCGAGAGGAACACCUGCGGCGAAGGCGGGUUGCUGGGCUGAUACUGACGCUGAGGCGCGAAAGCUAGGGGAGCGAACGGG
rnacentral:rRNA from 1 species